GGAAUUAAUGUCUUACAUUUGGAUAUCACUUUUCACUGUUUUCUUUUCUUUUUCAGUAUGGGGGAUCAAACCCAGAACCUUCACACUGAGCUGCAUCUCCAGUUCUUUACUUAUUUUGAGACAGCAUCUUGCUAAGUUGCUAAGUUCCCAAGGCUGGGCUCAAACUUGUGAUUCUCCUGCCUCAGCCUCUCAAAAUGUACUUUUCAUUAUUUUCAAUGCAUUUUUAUAGCUAUUAUGUUCACUUCCCAUAAUGUCUUUGGGAAGUGGCUACAAACCAGACUCUAACUCACGUAGUGAGAGGAGACACAGGUUUCCUAACUGGCCAAAUGAGGCUAUCUUCUUGUGAGGGAGACAGAUAAUACACUAUGAAAAGCAAUUCUGUAUGAGGAAAGAAUGUGAAAAGUGCUUUGGAAAAACCUGAGGUAGGUAAGAAAGGCUAGGAGAAGGAAAGGGAGAAGGAGUUUUUACUUUACAUAGUCCAGUCAACAGACUACUCUAGCAUGUGAGAAGAAAACUGAAGAGAACUUAGGUGUCUGGGGACAAGGCUUUCCAACUAGAAAGAAUCACACGUGCAAAGGCCCUGAGGCGGGUUGUUUGGGGAGCUGCAAGGAAGUUAGUGUGGUUGUAGCAGUGUGAGAUCGAGUCAAGGGAAAGGUAACAGGCACAUUCUGCAGGGUGCAAGAGUGACAUGGUCCAUGUCACAUUUCAGCAUCAGUCUCAUCUUGGAGAAGGGUUGUGGCCAAGGACAGGAAGAACAACGCAGAAGAGAGGCCCUAGCAAUGGUCCAGACAAGAGGCAGUAGUGGCUUGGACCAAAAGGAGAGCGGGUAUAGGAAGAUUCUGGAUCUAUGUCAAGAAGACUUGCUGAUGGACUGGAUGCCAAGUGUGAGAGACAAAAUGGCCGUGCUCCAGUGCAGAUGUGACAGCAGUGUGGAGUUCAGGGAAAGGAGUUUUAUGAAUUGGUGGAGACCGGUGAAAACUAAAUGAGACGCCGAGAGAGGCUGUGAAAUUAAUCAUCUUGUUUUUAUCUCUGCGAAGGAUGAAUCCUGGACACUGGAGUCAUCUAGCAGCCACUCUCCAGUUUGAUGGACAAUUCUUUUUCAUUUUCAGCGAAAGAAUUUUGAUUUACUUCUUUCAGGAAAGUUGACAGGAGGCAGGUGGGCCUGUGACUCUUUGAUUCAUGGUUAAACCUAAUAUUUUUCUUGACUGUAAGAAUCUAUCAUUAGUGGUUCUGGAAAGAUGGGCACGGGAGGAAUUCUGGUACAGAAGCAUUGAAAGGAAAACAAAAAGGUUUUAAAAAAUAAAGCAAAGGUAUUAUUAUGUUGAAGUAGGAAGCUCAGGAAUGAAUCACUUCAAUGUCCAAAAACACAACCUCAUAAAGAUGCUGCCCCAAACCUUGAUGUUUCUUCUUCAGCACAAUCAUGAGGUCCUCAGCCUCCUACUGCCUGUCUCCUGUACUGAUCCCCACUGCAAACCUACCACACCUUCCUUGGCUGACAAGUUGCAAGCCUCUUACUAAGUAACUUCAGAUCUCAGAUAUAAGAGUACAAUUUCCAGGUGAGUUACAAAUGAAGCUAGUUGAUACUCAAAUUUUUCCUUGUUUUAUAGGGUUUCAAUGCAUAUAUAUUUUUUUAUUUUAUGUAGGAAAUUUUUAUUUGAUAAAUAUAACUUCAUAAACUUUUAAAAAAUACUGAGUACUGUACAAUAAGUAUACUACAGUUACUGACAAUGCAGAGAAUUUUUAAAGGAUUACAUUAGACAGCCACAGUAUCUGAGGUCCAAAAGUUUAACUAAGUAUUGCUACAUAUUUCCAGCUACUCAUUUUUCAUAAAAAUCUAACAAUCACCAUUAUUACAAACAUAUCAUUAGUUACGACUUUCACUGUCUUUUCACUGUAUGUGAUAUUUCAGUGUGUGACCACACCACAGUUUAUUUCUCCCUCUGUUUCUGAUGGAUACUUGGGUUGUUUCCAGUUUAGGGCGGAGAGAGCCUUGCUCUGGGUUCUAGCACAUGAGUCUUAGCAUUCUGCAUGCCCUCCUCCGUGGGUACACACAAUGACAAGUGUUCUCAGGUGUGAGUUUUCUUUUUUCUUUCUUUUCUCCUCUCCCUCCCUCUUUCUUUUUCUUUCUGGCACUAGAGACUGAACUCCCAGCUCCUUUUCAAAAUUUUUUUUUCUAUUCUGAGACAAGGUCUCACUAAAUCAGUAAGAUGCUCAUGCGGGGCUUGAACUUGUGAUCUUCCUGCUGGGAUUGCAGACCUGUACUGCCACACCUGGCUAAGCCAUGGGUUUUCAUAACGUUAGGAGGCAACAACAGAGAAAUGUUACAUAUACACAUACCCCCACAAGGAGAGGCGAAUCACAGUGGUAUUCUGUCCUCGCCAACAUUACCCUCUUUUCAUUUUAACCAUGCAGAUAUGUUUGUAGUAGUAAUUCAUCAGGAUUUGACUCUUUUAUAUUUUUAUUCAACUUCACUGAGGUACAUGUUACAUGCCACAAAAAUCACUGAUUUUAAAUAUUCAAUCAGUUUUGGUAAAUGCUUGUACCAGUGUGACUACCACCAUAAUUAAGGUAAACACACACAUGCACAAACACG
rnacentral:lncRNA from 1 species